CAGGUGUAUGACAAAUAUCUACGCACAAAAUCCUAUUCAAUUGUUUAUUCAUGUAUUGCCGUAAUGCCGUGUUAGGGAUGAUGAGUGGUGUAUAUAAGGGUUUAAAUUGGUGAAUGCUUUUGCACGUAUCAUGUGCGUGCAUCAAGCAUGCAUUUAGCUUUGAGUGCAUGAGACCGGUGAGAUAAUAGCUCAGUUGAAGCUCUCCAUACCCAAAGCAUGCUCGACGGACAGUUUGACCAGGAAGUGAGGGAGCUGUUGGUGAUGAUCAUCGAGAAGGUGAAAAUGCUGCCAGGAUGAGGUGAGACACAGAGACCGAGGAGGUGAGACACAUGGAUGAAGGAGCUGCCGGGUUGACGCAUGUUUCCCAGUUGAAGAGGAAGCCGGACAGGUUACAAUAGUGCGGUACCGGAGGAGACCCAAGUCUAAGAUCUGGGACUCAGUGGGUUUGAACGAAAAUAUCUUCGUACCGGGAUCGAAGAUGCAGGCCUCUCCUAAGCCGGGUCCCGGAUUGUUGAUAUAUAUAGCUGGUGAGUCUCGAGCGAGCUAUGAGCCUCCAAGUUUGUUCUUCCCUAGAAGCUUGUCAGCGAACCAGAUGAUCAACGGGAACCGAGGUAACCAAAAUGAAGAAAUUUCUGAGGUCAUCACUGGGAUUUGAAUAGGUGAUGAUCUGAGUUGCUGGUAUGGGUCACCAGGAUGUGUUACCGAGAGGUAAGGUUACGGGUGCUGGAAGCUCAAAGUUACCACUGUGAGAAGAUUAAUUGCCGAGAUGAAGCAUGGGUGCCCAUAUAAGAUUUGGGUGACCAAAUCAAUCUGGGUACCCGUCUUGGUCUCUAAUGUGAGAGAGUUCCCGACGGCUGUGACUAUCCAUCAAAGUUGCUUCCGGGAUGAGUUGAGCUAUGGUUGUAGAAUUGAGGGUGCGGGGGUGUGUGCUUACCCGCUGACUCAUGAGAGUCCCGGAGAAAAGUGAGGCUUGGGAGUGGGGUUGAGGGUACGGGGAUGUGCACGUACCCGCUGGCUUGUGGUACCCGUUGGCUCAUGUAUCUGGUGGCUCCUCGGAGGCUUGGGUGAGGAAGGUGAGGGGUGUCUUGCGUGUACCCGCUGACUUGUGGUACCCGUACAUGACCCUUGCUCAAGGUGCGGGGUGUCUUGCGCAUACAUGAUUGGUGGUUCCCGUACAUGACCCUUGCUCAAGGUCGGAGGCUCAUACCCAAACUCCUAGGGACCCUCAUUCUAGCGCCAAUGUUUCUGUGUGAGAAUACGGAACGGGAACUAAGUAUGAGGCAAGGUAGAGAGGGAGAGAGAAAUGACACAAACAUGUAUAGUGGUUCACCUUGCCCUUGAGGCAAGGCUACGUCCACUUAGAAGUUCCACUAUGAGUGAGGCCAAGUAGCCUUUGUAGUGAUACAAGUAUGGGGAUCAUGGAUCCCAUCCUCUUCUAAGAAUGGGAGGACUUCCCUUUAUAGCUAAAGGAAAUCUCAUUUUAUUCUACAUUUCCGAUGUGGGACAAUAAUACACACAUUUGCUUCUCUUGAAGCCUUUUGAAGAGCAUGGGAGGGUGGCCUCCCGACUAGAUACCGGCCGACCUCCACCAUGGCAACGUAGCUCGGGUGUCGGUCUACCGAAUGCAUGCCAUAGGUGGGGCUAGCCAUGUCGUGGGGCCCAUGUACGAGGUUGUUGCUUAUACUUGGCGGUAUGUAAUAUAGGCGGUAUGUACAACAAUAUACACUUGUAAAAAUACUUUUCACGUUUUAUACUCACUUGUGUACUUAACUUGUGCCCUGUGUGAGAAAUUAUGUACAAUAUACUUGUUAGUUAUACUUGUACUUUGUAAUUCAUAGUUAUACUUGUUUUUA